rnacentral:rRNA from 1 species
GUGAACGCUGGCGGUAGGCCUAACACAUGCAAGUCGAACGGCAGCACAGUAAGAGCUCGCUCUUACGGGUGGCGAGUGGCGGACGGGUGAGGAAUACAUCGGAAUCUACUUUUUCGUGGGGGAUAACGUAGGGAAACUUACGCUAAUACCGCAUACGACCUACGGGUGAAAGCAGGGGAUCUUCGGACCUUGCGCGAUUGAAUGAGCCGAUGUCGGAUUAGCUAGUUGGCGGGGUAAAGGCCCACCAAGGCGACGAUCCGUAGCUGGUCUGAGAGGAUGAUCAGCCACACUGGAACUGAGACACGGUCCAGACUCCUACGGGAGGCAGCAGUGGGGAAUAUUGGACAAUGGGCGCAAGCCUGAUCCAGCCAUACCGCGUGGGUGAAGAAGGCCUUCGGGUUGUAAAGCCCUUUUGUUGGGAAAGAAAAGCAGCAGGUUAAUACCCCGCUGUUCUGACGGUACCCAAAGAAUAAGCACCGGCUAACUUCGUG